rnacentral:rRNA from 1 species
GACGAACGCUGGCGGCGUGCUUAACACAUGCAAGUCGAACGGAAAGGCCCUGCUUUUGUGGGGUGCUCGAGUGGCGAACGGGUGAGUAACACGUGAGUAACCUGCCCUUGACUUUGGGAUAACGUCAGGAAACUGGGGCUAAUACCGGAUAGGAGCUCCUGCUGCAUGGGGGGGGUUGGAAGGUUUCGGCGGUUGGGGAUGGACUCGCGGCUUAUCAGCUUGUUGGUGGGGUAGUGGCUUACCAAGGCUUUGACGGGUAGCCGGCCUGAGAGGGUGACCGGCCACAUUGGGACUGAGAUACGGCCCAGACUCCUACGGGAGGCAGCAGUGGGGAAUAUUGCACAAUGGGCGGAAGCCUGAUGCAGCAACGCCGCGUGCGGGAUGACGGCCUUCGGGUUUUAAACCGCUUUCGCCUGUGACGAAGCGUGAGUGACGGUAAUGGGUAAAGAAGCUCCGGCUAACUACGUG